AUAGAUGCAUGGAGGUAGAAUUCGGAAUCUAGCAGCACCAGCAAUUAAUAAAAUAUCAUCUUAACUUGAAUUGUGACAUCCAUUCAGCCGACUAUUGUGAAAAUGUGAAUACAAUAAAUACUGGGGGCUAUUAACUCCCACAAUCAGCAAAAAUAAUCUCCAUCAUUUAGACACUUAUUUUUAAUGAUGACGCUUCUUUUAAGCUGCCAAGAGGUAAUAUUGUAAAUUGAAUAUGAGAGUGAAUUUUUUAAUUAUUCAAGAGAAUGACAUCCGCAUCCUGAAAGGAUCAUUCAUCAUAUUUUAAAUCGCCUAAGAGGAAAAAGUUUUGAAUCACCCAAGAGGCUAAAAGGUUUUUAACUACCAAUAGAUGUUGGUUCCGCCCAAGAGGUUGAAAUAUUUGAGCUAUCAACGAGGAUAUAUCAUUAAGAAACCCAAGAGGGUGACACUUGCAUCCGAAUCAGAAGUUCCAAGCCACCAUUAAAUAAUUGCUGCAUGACAAAAAUUAAACAGAAUACAUGGGCUUUUAAACCUCAACCAUCUCAAACGUAAAAAAAUAUGAACAAAUAUAGAUUUUUUUAAAAAAAACUACACAAUGCAAAACCUCUACUUUUUUCUUGUAUGUUUUAUAUCAUAUUUUAAUUCAAAAUAUAAAAUACUAAAAUUAACUCCAAAUUUCAAAAUACUAUUUUUGUAACAAAAUUCACAAAUGCAUAACCUUCUCUCAUUUCUCACUUCUCAUCCACACUUCUCAAUUCACUUCUCCGUCACUCCUCCACCACUUGUCCGGUACCUCAAGGUAAUUUUUCCUCUCUCAAUCUCCGUUAGUCAAUUUCUUUGAUGCCUUAAGAUUUUAUUUUGUUUCUAAUUUUUUUUAUUAGGUCUCUAAUCAAAAAAAAAAAUCUACAAAUUACUGAUCGUAUUCACUAGGUAAGUUCAUUGUUUUGGCUAUUCGUAUAGAUGCAUGAAAGUAGAAUCUAUAUAUAGUAGUAUCAAUGAUUGAAAAAAACCCUCUGUAACUUGAAUUGUGGCACCCCCUUCUAUAGGAGUUUGUGAAAUUGGGUCAGAACAAAUACCGGGGGUUAUCGACUGCCUCAAUAUGCAAAAAUAAUCCCAAUUAUUUAGGUGUUUUUUUUUUGUAGUGAUGUUACUGCUUUCUGAACCACCAAAUGAUUACACUGUGAACUGAAUUUGAAGGUGAAGCUUUGAACCAUUAAGGAGGAUGACGUUUGCAUCCUGAAAAGAUCAUUCAUAAUUUCUUAAAUCAUCUAAAAGGGAACAAUUUUGAACUCAAUAACUAGUAGAUAAUUAGUACUUAUUAAUUUUAUCAUGUUAAUUGAAAUGCUAUGUUAUAAUAUUUCUUAGUUUUUUGUUUUAACCUUAUUAAUUCUUCUGUAUUAUUUUUAAGGUAUUUUAUAUGUUUCAUAUUUCUAGUUUUUUAGAUAGUCAAGUAGAUUCUUUUUCAUAAAUAUUUUUAUUAAUCUUAUUUCCUGCAUAUCUUUUCUCCAAUAUUCUAAGUAUUCGUAAUUUAUCAUUUUAUCCUAAAGUGGUUGUAAUACUGCAAAUUUCUUUUUAAUAAUUUAUUCUAAUUGUACUAUAUCUUAUAUUAAAUUCUAGGUUAUCUAUUUCGUUAAUUAUCCUGUCUGUUUCUUCUAUAAAUAAUUCUAUGUCUAAAUCAUAUUCUAAACUAUCUUUUAACUCUAGUUGUUUUAUGGUUUUAUCUAUCCAAAUUAAUUUUUCUUUUAAUUAUUUUCUUCCUCUUCCAAGCUGGUUUCUAUAAUUAAUUUCUUCGUAUAGCCAACUUUAUUUUUCUCUAACUCUUUUAAUAUAUUCUAACAUUUUUAAUCUGUAUAAUAUCCAUCUGAAUAAUAACUGUCUAAAUAUGAACAGUAGCUCUCAUUAUAUAAGUGUAGGUUUUCUAUAGAAUUUAAUAACUCUUCUUCUUCAUAAUUCCGUAUUUUUUCCAUAUUAUUUUCUUUAUGUCUAUAAUUUUUAUAUCUCUAAGUAUAUAUAAAACAAUUAUUUUAAAAUUAUCUGUCAUUUAAGCUUGAUUAACUGCUUUUUCAUAAUAUUCUUUAGUUAUUUGUUUUAAUCUUUUUAAUUCUUUCAUAUUUUCGUUAAGGUAUUCUAUAUAUUUUAUAUUUUUAGUUUUCAUGUAUUCUUCUAAAUUUGUUUUCAUUAGUUUUUCUACUAAUUGUAUAUUUUUUAUAUCCAUUUUCCAAUAUUCUACAUAAUUUAUCAUGGUUGAUGCGUAGAUUUGGCAUGUAGAUAUAUAUAGGAGUAGGUAGGUAGGUGUGGUAUGUAAUUUAUUCUAGUCAUAGUAUAUUUAUCAAAUAUUUUUUCCCAUAUGAUCUUUCUUAUAUCUACUAUUUCUAUAUCCUUAAGUACAUACAAAACAAGUAUUUUGAAUUUAUCUAUCAUUUCAUCGGAUAAGUAGGUAGUCAUUCUUUUUCAUAUGAUGUUAUUUUCAAAUAUUUCUUUCAACCAUAUACAUAACAAAAUAUGAUCAUCUUAGAUCACUAUGUACUAAAUUAUUCUUAAAUAAUUAUGUUACUCUGUCACUAUUAGCAUGGUAGUCUGGAUACUUUUUUCUUAAACAACGCCUCUACUCUGGCUACUCCUCUAUCACGACUUUCUUCACCGGUUUCACCUUUAGGAUGGCAUAAUCCUUAGGAAUUUUUUUCCUUUUCCUCUUUGCUAAUAAACUUUGUAACAUAUUAUUGUUCGAAUAAUUCUACUAUAUAGUAACUAACAUGAACUUAUUUUAUCAUAUUAUGAUUGUUAGGAAUUUAUGAAUUUAGCUAUUCAUAAUUAUAAAUGAAUAUACCUGUUCUGGUAGAUUUGAUAAUUCCGGACUGUUCAUCCGUAGCUUCUCCUUAGAAAUAUAUCUGAUUUUAUUAAAUAUUCAAAAGUUUUUUGUGUAUAAAAGAGAAUGCUUGCUUUCAACACAUGAAAGUCUUGCCUUUAACUUAGCCGGAUGACUUACAUAUUUAUAAGAGGAAAAGAACUAUUCCUACUUUACACGUUUUACA
rnacentral:lncRNA from 1 species